UCUUGGUCAUUUAGAGGAAGUAAAAGUCGUAACAAGGUCUCCGUAGGUGAACCUGCGGAGGGAUCNUUACACAAAUAUGAAGGCGGGCUGGAACCUCUCGGGGGUUACAGCCUUGCUGAAUUAUUCNCCCUUGUCUUUUGCGUACUUCUUGUUUCCUUGGUGGGUUCGCCCACCNNUAGGACAAACAUAAACCUUUUGUAAUUGCAAUCAGCGUCAGUANCAAAUUAAUAAUUACAACUUUCAACAACGGAUCUCUUGGUUCUGGCAUCGAUGAAGAACGCAGCGAAAUGCGAUAAGUAGUGUGAAUUGCAGAAUUCAGUGAAUCAUCGAAUCUUUGAACGCACAUUGCGCCCUUUGGUAUUCCAAAGGGCAUGCCUGUUCGAGCGUCAUUUGUACCCUCAAGCUUUGCUUGGUGUUGGGCGUCUUGUCUCUAGCUUUGCUGNAGACUCGCNUUAAANUAGAUUGGCAGCCGGCCUAGCUGGUUUCGGAGCGCAGCACAAGNCGCACUCUCUAUCAGCNAAGGUGUAGCAUCCANUAAGCCU
rnacentral:rRNA from 1 species